rnacentral:rRNA from 1 species
GACGAACGCUGGCGGCGUGCUUAACACAUGCAAGUCGAACGGAAAGGCCUCGUUCGGGGGGUACUCGAGAGGCGAACGGGUGAGUAAAACGUGAGUAACAUGCCCUUGACAUUGGGAUAAAAUUAGAAAAAUGGGGGUAAUACAGGAGAGAAGCUCCUGCUGCACGGGGGGGGGUGGAGAGUUUCGGCGGUUGGGGGUUGGCUCGCGGCGUAUCAGCUUGUUGGUGGGGUGAUGGGUUACCAAGGGGUUGACGGGUAGCCGGCCUGGGAGGGGGUCCGGCCAACUUUGGGCUGAGAUACGGCCCAGACUCCCACCGGGGGCCGGAGGGGGGAAUUUUGCACAAUGGGGGGGAGCCUUGUGCAGCAACGCCGUGUGCGGGAUUACGGCCUUCGGGUUGGAAACCGCUUUCGCUCAGGACGAAGCUUUGUGUGACGGUAGUGGGUAAAGAAGCACCGGCUAACUACGUG